rnacentral:rRNA from 1 species
UGGGGAAUUUUGGACAAUGGGGGAAACCCUGAUCCAGCCAUCCCGCGUGUGCGAUGAAGGCCUUCGGGUUGUAAAGCACUUUUGGCAGGAAAGAAACGUCGCGGGUUAAUACCCCGCGAAACUGACGGUACCUGCAGAAUAAGCACCGGCUAACUACGUGCCAGCAGCCGCGGUAAUACGUAGGGUGCAAGCGUUAGUCGGAAUUACUGGGCGUAAAGCGUGCGCAGGCGGUUCGGAAAGAAAGAUGUGAAAUCCCAGAGCUUAACUUUGGAACUGCAUUUUUAACUACCGGGCUAGAGUGUGUCAGAGGGAGGUGGAAUUCCGCGUGUAGCAGUGAAAUGCGUAGAUAUGCGGAGGAACACCGAUGGCGAAGGCAGCCUCCUGGGAUAACACUGACGCUCAUGCACGAAAGCGUGGGGAGCAAACAGGAUUAGAUACCCUGGUAGUCCACGCCCUAAACGAUGUCAACUAGCUGUUGGGGCCUUCGGGCCUUGGUAGCGCAGCUAACGCGUGAAGUUGACCGCCUGGGGAGUACGGUCGCAAGAUU